AUAGAUACCCUGGUAGUCCACGCCGUAAACGAUGAGUGCUAAGUGUUAGAGGGUUUCCGCCCUUUAGUGCUGCAGCUAACGCAUUAAGCACUCCGCCUGGGGAGUACGGCCGCAAGGCUGAAACUCAAAGGAAUUGACGGGGGCCCGCACAAGCGGUGGAGCAUGUGGUUUAAUUCGAAGCAACGCGAAGAACCUUACCAGGUCUUGACAUCCUCUGCCAACCCUAGAGAUAGGGCGUUCCCCUUCGGGGGACAGAGUGACAGGUGGUGCAUGGUUGUCGUCAGCUCGUGCCGUGAGAUGUUGGGUUAAGUCCCGCAACGAGCGCAACCCUUGAUCUUAGUUGCCAGCAUUCAGUUGGGCACUCUAAGGUGACUGCCGGUGACAAACCGGAGGAAGGUGGGGAUGACGUCAAAUCAUCAUGCCCCUUAUGACCUGGGCUACACACGUGCUACAAUGGAUGGUACAAAGAGCUGCGAACCCGCGAGGGUAAGCGAAUCUCAUAAAGCCAUUCUCAGUUCGGAUUGU
rnacentral:rRNA from 1 species